UACCUGCAGCUCAAGUGGUGAUCACUAUUAUUGGGCCUAAAACGUCCGUAGCCGGUUUAUUAAAUGCCUGGGUAAAUCGUAUAGCUUAACUAUACGAAUUCCGGGUAGACUGUUAAACUUGAGACCGGGAGAAGCCGGAGGUACUCCUGGGGUAGAGGUGAAAUUCUGUAAUCCUAGGGGGACCACCAGUGGCGAAGGCGUCCGGCUAGAACGGGUCUGACGGUGAGGGACGAAGCCCUGGGGCGCAAACCGGAUUAGAUACCCGGGUAGUCCAGGGUGUAAACGCUGCUUGCUUGAUGUUAGUCGGGCUCCGAGCCCGAUUAGUGUCGGAGAGAAGUUGUUAAGCAAGCUGCCUGGGAAGUACGGUCGCAAGACUGAAACUUAAAGGAAUUGGCGGGGAGCACAGCAACGGGUGGAGCGUGCGGUUU
rnacentral:rRNA from 1 species